UCAGCCGGCCGGACGGCCGCUCCCGCUAUGGUCGAAAGGCCGCGGGGGAGGAAAGUCCGGGCUCCAAUGACAUACGGUGCCGGAUAACGUCCGGCGGGGGCGACCCCAGGGAAAGUGCCACAGAGAACGAACCGCUCCGUGCUUGCACGAAGUAAGGGUGAAAAGGUGCGGUAAGAGCGCACCGCGGAUCCGGCAACGGAAACGGCAAGGUAAACCCCACCGGGAGCAAAACCGAAUAGGGACAGCAUGGCAGUUAGUUCGUGCACGGGCGCAAGCCCACGAACGAUAACACUGCAGGGUGAUGUCAAACCCGCUGUCCGGGUAGGUUGCUAGAGGCCGCAUGCAAAUGCGGUCCCAGAAGAAUGGCCGUCACGUAUCGUUGCGCAAGCCGCGAUGCCUUACAGAACCCGGCUUACAGGCCGGCUGAUAUC
rnacentral:RNase_P_RNA from 1 species